rnacentral:lncRNA from 1 species
AUUAGAACCUGUAGUCGGAGCAUCAGUUAUAAGAGAGGAGGGCUCUUCCCGGCGCCAGGCUCCAGGCCCCAGGCUCCGUCCUGAAGCUGGGGAAAAAUGCAGGAAUGGAAAUGGAGAGGAGUCUGAGGAAAAGAAGGUCAAGCAACAGGCCCAAAGUGAGAUCCAGCUCAAGGGGAGGCCCCAAGACCUGAAACCAUUACUGAAAUUAUGGAGCAUUCACAAAAAGGAUGUAUCAUGGCUGCUCUUCAAAAGACCCAAGAGGCAGCUGAAAGAGUCAGAUGCAGUUAUGUGCACCCAACCAGUGAACAGAAGCUGCUGACUCCUCUGGUUGAAUUGGAGAAAAGCUAGAGGAAGCGAAGGAGAUUCCAUCCUUUAACAUCAAGACAGGAGCAUGGCAGCAUCCAGGCAGACAUGGUGCAGGAGGAGCUGAGAGUUCUACAUCUUCAUAUGAAGGCUGCUAAUUGAAGGCUGAAUUCCAUGCAGCCUGUACCAACAGUGACACACCUACUCCAACAAGGCUAAACUAACUCCAAGAGUGCCAUACCUUCUAAGAAUGCUACAUCCUGGACUGAAUAUAUAGAUAAGAUCUAUGAAGCUAAGAAAUGCAUGCUGACAGGAAUCAGAUAAAGAUGUCUCCUGAGAGACACAGUUAGAGCAUGUGAAAUAGAGAGGUGAAUGCUAGCAGCAAACCACUAAACUGAGAACGGGACUCCUGUUGGAGGAAUUAGAGAAAGGAUUGAAAGAGCUGAAGGGGCUUACAACCCCGUAAGAGCAGCAUUCCAACCAACCAGAGCUUGCAGGGACGAAACCACGACCCAAAUACUACACAUGGAUGGACCCAUGGCUCCAACUCAUAGGGAGCAGUGGAUGGCCUUGUUGGGCAGCAAUGGAAGGAGAAGCCCUUUGUCAAUAUAAGUAAAAUUUUUAAGAGAUAAGUGACAUCAUGAACAGCAGAGGACAAGGGUAGAAAUGACAAUUUAUGGAGUCCGGUCUUCACAUGCUGUGAAAUUGUAAAGGAAAGGCAGCAGAGUAUUGUGAGAAAAACAGUCCAAGGAGAGUAAUGGACACAGAUGUGUAACCCUGUAGCUAUCUGCCCAGGGUUUCAACAGAGGUCAAUGUGUUGCAUUGUUGAGAUGGCAGCUCUGUCCCCCUUUGCACAAAAUCGGAUACCACUUAGGCUCAUGUCACUCCUUCCUCAGGACUUAGCCCUUCCAUUAGGUUAGUUGUCAGUGUCCACAGACUGCACUAAGCCAACCUUAUCAAUCAGGCCACUGUUCAGUAUUCAUUUUAAUCUCUCAGAGACUCCUCAGUCCACUCCUUUGUAGCUUCCCAUCACACAUGUGCCUUCUUGCCUUUAGCUGUUUGUAUGUAGUGCUUCCAGGUUUCUGGUUUGUGUUGUCUUAACUGUUCCCCUCCAGCAUAGAGCCCAGAGUCUGACAAACACUGACCUCUAACUCCCUCCUUCAGUUAAAUCUGUUCCCAAUAUAUACUACAUGCACUUAAUAUGUGAAGGGAAUGUACAUUGCCUGUCCCUCUGAUUUGUGAGGGUAUAUCAUAAAGUUGCUAAAUAGUACACCUUGAUGUACUG